rnacentral:lncRNA from 13 species
UAUAAAAACAUUAUUAAGGUGGCAUUAUUAAGGUGACAUUACUAAAGUGGCAUUAUUAAGGUGACAUUAUUAAGGUGGCAUUAUUCAGGUGGCAUUAUUAAGGUGACAUUAUUAAAGUGGCAUUAUUAAGGUGACAUUAUUAAGGUGGCAUUAUUAAGGUGACAUUUUUAAAGUGGCAUUAUUAAGGUGGCAUUAUUAAAGUGGCAUUAUUAAGGUGGCAUUAUUAAAUUGGCAUUAUUAAGGUGACAUUAUUAAAGUGGCAUCAUUAAGGUGGCAUUAUUAAGGUGACAUUAUUAAAGUGACUAGUGAUCAUUUAUUAUAGUGGUCAAUGAUUUCAAGUCAGUAUGUUGGCAGCAGACACUCAAUGUUAGUGAUGGCUGUUUAACAGUCUGAUGGCAUUGAGAGAGAAGCUGUUUUCAGUCUCUCGGUCCCCGCUCUGAUGCACCUGUACUGACCUCGCCUUCUGGAUGAUAACUGGGUGAACAGGCAGUGGCUCAGGUGGUUGUUGUCCUUGAUGAUCCUUUUGGCCUUCCUGUGACAUCGGGUGGUGUAGGUGUCCUGGAGGGCAGGUAGUUUGCCCCCGGUGAUACGUUGUGCAGACCUCACUACCCUCUGGAGAGCCUUGCGGUUGUGGGCAGUGCAGGUGUCGUACCAGGCGGUGAUACAGCCUGACAGGAUGCUCUCAAUUGUGCAUCUCUCAUCCUUUGUGUUGGCAUGUGUUGGCAUCUCUCAUCCUUUGUGUUGGCAUCUCUCAUCCUUUGUGAUGGCAUGUGUUGGCAUGUGUUGGCAUCUCUCAUCCUUUGUGUUGGCAUCUCUCAUCCUUUAUGUUGGCAUCUCUCAUCCUUUGUGUUGGCAUGUGUUGGCAUCUCUCAUCCUUUGUGUUGGCAUGUGUUGGCAUCUCUCGUCCUCUGUGUUGGCAUCUCUCAUCCUUUGUGUUGGCAUCUCUCAUCCUUUGUGUUGGCAUGUGUUGGCAUCUCUCAUCCUUUGUUGGUCUUGUCAGAGCCAAAUCAGUCUGGUCUGACUUGUUGUCAGUUCUUAGAAGUAUCGUCUCCCUCAGGUUGCGUCUCUCUCUGUCUCUAUGUCACCCUACUCACCAUAUACUGCAUUGCGUUUGACUAGACGGAGAGACAAAGAGACAGAGAGACAGACAUAAAUAAUGGUGUUCCACAAAAGGUCCAGUUGCCAGGACCACAAAUACAAAUUACAUCUAGACACCAUUUCCCUAGAGCACACACAAAAAACUGUACAUACCUCGGCCUAAACAUCAGCGCCACAGGUAACUUCCACAAAGCUGUGAACAAUCUGAGAGACAAGGUAAGAAGUGCCAUUAAAAGGAACCUAACAUUUGAUGUACCAAUUAGGAUCUGGCUAAAAGUACUUGAAUCAGUUCUAGAACCCAUUGUCCUUUAUGUUUGGGAGGUCUGGGGAACGCUCACCAACCAAGAAUUCACAAAACGGGACAAAAGAAACAAAUUGAGACUCCUCUGUGUACAACAUAAAACACUGCAAUGCUUGCAGAACAGAAAUUAGGUCGAUACACGUUAAUGAUCAAAAUCCAGAAAAUAGCCUUUCAAUUCUACAACCACCUAAAAGGAAGCGAUUUCCACUCCUUCCACAACAAAGCCAUCACCUACAGAGAGAUGAACCUGGAGAAGAGUCAUCACCUACACAGAGAUGAACCUGGAGAAGAGUCCCCCUAAGCAAGCUGGUCCUGAGGCUCUGUUCACAAUCACACCCCACAGAGCUCCAGAACAGCAACACAAUUAGACCCAAACAAAUCAUAAGAAAACUAAAAGAUUAUUACUUGACACAUUGGAAAGAAUUUAUUAAAAAAACAAAACAAACUAGAAUUCUAGUUGGCCAUAAGUGGCAGAAAACCAGACCACUGUGACUGACCCAAAAUUAAGGAAAUCUUUCGUAAGUUCAAUAUAUCAUAUGAAGCUUUGCCACUUGCUCUGUAAUAAAAGCAGUAUUUUUAUUUUAAUGAAUUAUUGUAUUUUAACAUGAAUAGAUGAAUAUUGAAAAUACAUGAAUACAAUUUUUUUUAUUUUUUUUUAUUGAUUUGGCAAAUUGUUGAACAUAUUGUUGAACAUAAUAUACUUUACUUUAUUUAAGCUUAUUUAUCUCUGCUAGUUUUAAAGUUAUGGCCUAAUUCAAACUGAGACAUCGGCAUUGUAGGCAAUGUAACCAAUCACAGGCCCUCCUUUUUUCCUUCUAUCAUUGCACAUCGUGCAAAUCACCAAGCUGAGGGCGGCCAUUUUAACAUAAUUUUCACAUUCACUCUGUUGGUCGUGCUUACACAUAGACUCAUACAGUAAAAGAGCUCCUCCCACUUUGGAACGUUGACAUACCUGUAGAGUAUCAUCUUCAACAAUAUAUUGAAAAAUUUUCCAAAUCCAAAAAUUGUGUUUUUUGAGCUGCAGACUUUGUAGGUUGGGAUCUGACUAUUUCUUCUGCAUCCAUUGGUAGCAACCAUUAGUCUGUGUGAUUAACAGGUGCUGAGCUAGAGCGGUGUUUGUGAGACAAAGGCUGAACCGAAAGGGGCCGGCUAUUUAUUUUACAAUAACUUCUUUAGAAUCAGAAUGGUUUGAGCUAUAAACUAUUUUAAAAGCUAUCUAUGAGAAGCGGAGACUCUCAUGAACACGCACAUGACAUGUUUUGCUCCAUGCCACUCACAAGCUACGCAAGAGUCCUUAGAAGGUAAGGAGUUCUUCUACAUAGAAGAUUAUAGGAAAUCCCAGGACAUAGUGUCCAUGAUACUGUAAUAAGCUCACAUAGUUACUGUCACAAACUCCAAACUCCACACAGUUAUCACUGACUAGUUAGGUAUAUAUUUUACAACGAGGAAAACAUUUAUUUUUUAAAUCAGGUUCUUGAUUUUUUAUGACCUUUUUUUUUUUAUUAUUAUUGAUAUUUGUCAAUAAAACUCAUGAAUGCAACUGCUUAUGUCAAAUUGUUUUGUGAUAUACUUGCAGCCCUGGUUUUCCUAAAAAAAUAAAAAGGUUAAACACUUCAUUGAAAAGGGAUGGUGGAUGGUAGGUUUUUACUAUGCUGUUUUUAACUUUAUGUCCCCAUCAUAAUAUCCUACAAUGCAAAUUGGCUUCUGGACAGCAGAACAGGGAUCACUAACCUCGAUUUGGAUAAAGAUUUCUACUUCAACGAUUCUGCAGCUCUGGGCGUUCUGUUUACUCUGGGGCUAAUCCCCGGGUCUCGAAAGAAGACUUUCAAAUCAAUGGGACCUGAAGAAAUGUAGUAUUCUAUGUUUAUCAGAGUCUUGAAUGAACAAGGACAUUGGAUAAUAUACACUGAGUGUACAAAACACCUUAUCUUCCAUGACAUAGACUGACUAGGUGAAUCCAGGUGAAGGCUAUGCUCCCUUAUUGAUAUCAGUUGUUAAUAGAUGAAGGGGGGGGGGGGNNNNNNNNNNNNNNNNNNNNNNNNNNNNNNNNNNNNNNNNNNNNNNNNNNNNNNNNNNNNNNNNNNNNNNNNNNNNNNNNNNNNNNNNNNNNNNNNNNNNNNNGCAGGUUAACCUCUACAGGAUUGGUAAAACAACAAUCAUUCCCUCAACGUCAGCAAGGCAAAGGAGCUGAUCGUGGACUACAGGCCCCAAGACAUAAGUCUGCAAAAUAGUUAGUUGAAUAGUUAAUCAAAUAGCUUCCUGAAGCCUCUGCAUUGACCCUUUUUUCAACUAACUCUUUGAAAAUCAUCACAUACAUUACUGCUACUGUUUAUUAUAUAUCCAUGUGUCUAGUCACUUACCUAUAUGUAUAUAUCUACAAAAUCCAUGUGUACGUGUGUGUAGUGUGUGUGUUAUCAUGUGUAUGCAUGUGUCUAUGUUUGUGUUGCUUCGCAGUCCACACUCUUCCAUAAGGUGUAUAUUUAUCUUCUUUUUUUAAAGUCUAAUUUUACUGCUGGCAUGAGUUACCUGAUGUGGAAUAGAGUUCCUUGUAAACAUGUGGUUCCUUGUAAACAUGUGGUACUGUGCGCCUCCCGUAGUCUGUUCUGGAGACUGUUAUUUUUGUAUAAUUUUUGAAAUAUUUCUCUCAAAAAUUAUUUGAUUUGCAGAUAAAUGAACGAGAUAAAUGAAAAGCAGUUUUUUUCCUCGGGUCUCCGAACUAACAGGGUUUUGCAAAGAGUAUUGAGUGAAGGAAUAGGGAGAGUUAAGUUAAUGCCCUGGGUUCAAUGUAUUUUACAAAUGGCUCACAAAAAAAAAGCAGAUUGGUUUUUAGGUGUAGAGACAAACUUCUGUAUUGAUUAGACUUGAUGUCGUUCAUCAGGCUCGCUUCAUCACGAGGAAAGAAAACAGGAAUCAAUGGUUUAAUCACAGACACAGCUAAUGCUGUCUGAUUAUCCUGCAUGUAAAUGUAUCAUUUGGAGUUGAAUGUAGCUAAUGCAGAAUUAUACCGAAUGUGUUUUAUCAGACUGUAAAUCUAGCUAAAUAAUAUUUUCUUAUAUUUGCGUUAUUUAUUUAUUUAUUUUUUAUUUUACCGUUAUUUUACCAGGUAAGUUGACUGAGAACACGUUCUCAUUUACAGCAACGACCUGGGGAAUAGUUACAGGGGAGAGGAGAGGAGAUGAAUGAGCCAAUUGUAAACUGGGGAUGAUUAGGUGACAGUGAUGGUAUGAGGGACAGCUUGGGAAUUUAGCUUGGGAAUUUAGCCAGGACACCCGGGGGGGUUAACACCCCUAAUCUUACGAUAAGUGCCAUGGGAUCUUUAAUGUCAUCAAAGAGCCAGGACACUCGUUUAACGUCCCUUCCGAAAGACGGCACCCUACACAGGGCAGUGUCCCCAAUCACUGCCCUGGGGAAUUGGGCAAUUUUUUUUUUAGACCAGAGGAAAAAGUGUGCCUACUACUGGCCCUCUGUUAUGAGAAUUUUGUUCUCAAUGUUCAUAAACUGAACUUCACUUAAAUUGCUCUGUCUGUUACUUAAGAAUGUGUAAGGUUCUUACUGAAAUGACGUAUGCAGGGGCCAGUCUACCGUAGUCAGUAUGGUUUAUUUACGAGAGAGCUGCUGUACAUAUACAAAGACAUUCCAUUUUAUAGCUUUCUCUUACCCUACACACAUACAGUACAUACACAACAACAUAGGGAUUUUCUCAUGAGUCUCACCACAGUUUAUUACCACUCAGCUGACAGUUCCAGUCUCCCCCAGAUACUAGAGCUCUGGAGGGGCUCUCCCUGUCCUAUCUUAUCUCUCCAGAGUUACAGCUGGGUCGGUUCAAACAUAGGUUAAUGAACCUCUUCGUUCUCUUUCGACACACAUACAUUCCUUUCUUCCUAGGUCUAUGCGACAUAACCUCUUCCUAAUGAACAGACAUUAUUUAUCAUUAUAGAAAGACAGGGAAGAAUUAUAUUAGUUAUAAUUCUACGUUAAAUGUAUACAUCAUUUAGUCAUUAUUCAUAAUAAUCAUAACACCCUCCAACACCAUUUCCAGCAGCAU